rnacentral:rRNA from 1 species
UACGGAGGGUGCGAGCGUUGUCCGGAAUCACUGGGCGUAAAGGGCGCGUAGGCGGCCUGAUAAGUAGGGGGUGAAAUCCUGCGGCUUAACCGCAGGGCUGCCUUCUAAACUGUCAGGCUUGAGCACAGUAGAGGCAGGUGGAAUUCCCGGUGUAGCGGUGGAAUGCGUAGAUAUCGGGAGGAACACCAGUGGCGAAGGCGGCUCUCUGGGCUCUACCUGACGCUGAGACGCGAAAGCGUGGGGAGCGAACCGG